AACGAACGCUGGCGGCAUGCCUAACACAUGCAAGUCGAACGAGACCUUCGGGUCUAGUUGCGCACGGGUGCGUAACGCGUGGGAACCUUCCCUUAUGUUCGGAAUAACUCCCCGAAAGGGGUGCUAAUACCGGAUAAUUUCUUCUGACCAAAGAUUUAUCGCCUUUGGAUGGGCCCGCGUUGGAUUAGCUAGUUGGUAGGGUAAAAGCCUACCAAGGCGACGAUCCAUAGCUGGUCUGAGAGGAUGAUCAGCCACACUGGGACUGAGACACGGCCCAGACUCCUACGGGAGGCAGCAGUGGGGAAUAUUGGACAACGGGCGAAAGCAUGAUCCAGCAAUGCUGCGUGAGUGAUGAAGGCCUUAGGGUUGUAAAGCUCUUUUACCCGGGAUGAUAAUGACAGUACCGGGAGAAUAAGCUCCGGCUAACUCCGUG
rnacentral:rRNA from 1 species